rnacentral:rRNA from 1 species
GGCCUACGGGAGGCAGCAGUGAGGAAUAUUGGUCAAUGGGCUUACGCCUGAACCAGCCAAGUCGCGUGAGGGAAGACUGCCCUAUGGGUUGUAAACCUCUUUUGUCAGGGAGCAAUUGGCGCUACGUGUAGCGUUAUCGAGAGUACCUGAAGAAAAAGCAUCGGCUAACUCCGUGCCAGCAGCCGCGGUAAUACGGAGGAUGCGAGCGUUAUCCGGAUUUAUUGGGUUUAAAGGGUGCGUAGGCGGUUUUUUAAGUUAGUGGUUAAACGUCGGGGCUUCCCCUUGAUUUGCCAUUAAUACUGUAA